AAGUCGUAACAAGGUUUCCGUAGGUGAACCUGCGGAAGGAUCAUUAACACGUAUCCAAACGUUAAACCCCCCUGUGAACCUUCAGUCGUACUCGUACGUCCGUUAGAAAAAGCAGCAAUCCCUGGUAAUUCAGGGACGUCUGCAAGGAGCGUGCAUGUUGUGCGUGUAAGUGGCCUGGCAUCCCCAAGCAGUUAGUGUCUGAAAGUGUCACUAACGUUAGUGUCUGAAAGUGUCACUAACAUGUGUAAGGAUGACGCAGUCACGAUCGUUGGAGGCCCACACGGCCGACGACCGGGUCACUGGGUGCAAGCCCCCUUAUCACACCCCUGCUCUAUCUAUGGUGAUCCUGCGGGAAGUCCUGCGGUCGAACGCCGAAACCGAACAACUGUUAACAAUGGAUAUCUUGGUUCUC
rnacentral:misc_RNA from 1 species